rnacentral:rRNA from 1 species
GACGAACGCUGGCGGCGUGCUUAACACAUGCAAGUCGAACGUGAUUUUUGUAGAAAUUCUUUCGGGAAUGGAAAUGAAAUGAAAGUGGCGAACGGGUGAGUAACACGUGAGCAACCUACCUUACACAGGGGGAUAGCCGUUGGAAACGACGAUUAAUACCGCAUGAGACCACAGAAUCGCAUGAUAUAGGGGUCAAAGAUUUAUCGGUGUAAGAAGGGCUCGCGUCUGAUUAGCUAGUUGGAAGGGUAAAGGCCUACCAAGGCGACGAUCAGUAGCCGGUCUGAGAGGAUGAACGGCCACAUUGGAACUGGGACACGGUCCAAACUCCUACGGGAGGCAGCAGUGGGGAAUAUUGCACAAUGGGGGGAACCCUGAUGCAGCGACGCCGCGUGAGCGAAGAAGGUUUUCGAAUCGUAAAGCUCUGUCCUAUGAGAAGAUAAUGACGGUAUCAUAGGAGGAAGCCCCGGCUAAAUACGUGCCAGCAGCCGCGGUAAUACGUAUGGGGCGAGCGUUGUCCGGAAUUAUUGGGCGUAAAGGGUACGUAGGCGGUUUUUUAAGUCAGGUGUGAAAGCGUGAGGCUUAACCUCAUUAAGCACUUGAAACUGGAAGACUUGAGUGAAGGAGAGGAAAGUGGAAUUCCUAGUGUAGCGGUGAAAUGCGUAGAUAUUAGGAGGAAUACCGGUGGCGAAGGCGACUUUCUGGACUUUUACUGACGCUCAGGUACGAAAGCGUGGGGAGCAAACAGG